CCUACGUGUGGCAGCAGUGAGGAAUAUUGGUCAAUGGUCGGGAGACUGAACCAGCCAAGCCGCGUGAGGGAGGACGGUACAGAGUAUCGUAAACCUCUUUUGUCAGGGAACAAAGGCGGGGACGUGUCCCCGGAUGCGUGUACCUGAUGCAAAAGCAUCGGCUAACUCCGUGCCAGCAGCCGCGGUACUACGGAGGAUGCGAGCGUUAUCCGGAUUUUUUGGGUUAAAAGGGUGCGCAGGCGGUCUGUUAUGUCAGCGGUCAAAGCCCGGGGCUCAACCCCGGCCCGCCGUUGAAACUGGCAGUCGCGAGUUGGAGAGAAGUAUGCGGAAUGCGCGGUGUAGCGGUGAAAUGCAGAGAUAUCGCGCAGAACUCCGAUUGCGAAGGCAGCAUGCCGGCUCCACACUGACGCUGAGGCACGAAAGCGUGGGUAUCGAACAGGAUUAGAUACCCCGGUAGUC
rnacentral:rRNA from 1 species